UCGAGAAUCUUCGGCAAUGGACGAAAGUCUGACCGAGCGAUGCCGCGUGCGGGAUGAAGGCCCUCGGGUUGUAAACCGUGAAAGUAAGGAGGAAGGCGCUGUGAAGAGCAGCGUUUGACCGAUUUACAGUAAGGACGGGCUAAGUUCGUGCCAGCAGCCGCGGUAACACGAACCGUCCAAACGUUAUUCGGAAUUAUUGGGCUUAAAGGGUGCGUAGGCGGCGUGUUAAGUCGGGUGUGAAAUCCCACAGCUCAACUGUGGAACUGCGCCCGAUACUGGCAUGCUUGAGGGAGACAGAGGUGAGCGGAACUGAUGGUGGAGCGGUGAAAUGCGUUGAUAUCAUCAGGAACACCAGUGGCGAAAGCGGCUCACUGGCUCGGUACUGACGCUGAGGUGCGAAAGCGUGGGGAGCAAACAGGAUUAGAUACCCGCGUAGUCC
rnacentral:rRNA from 1 species